GUGAAGAUUCAUUGGAUCCGGGUCUAGGUUGUGACGCUUCAGCAGCUCUGCCACGAUGCCUAGGGCGUGCUGGACGAGUUUGAGGUCGAAGCUCUCCGGAAGCAGGCGGGGGACCACGGAAGUUUCAGACUGAAGAGAUUUUGAUGAGCCCAAGUGAAAACACGGACCCUGAAGUUAUCUCAGUAGUGAGGAUCGGGGGCAUCGAAGACAACUCUUACUACAGUUGUAUUCCUCGACGAAAAAUUUGGACCAGUACUUCGAGCUCCAGGUGUGAGUUUAAACGCAAGUAGAUUUCCAGAAUCAAAAACAUCCUAACGGACGUUGUUGAAUCUUUGAUGCCCUCCAAACACCUAAUGUGACCAUCGGAAGAUGGUGGAACUGCAGAUCCACCUUUGAAGCAUGUUGAGGAAAAAAGGAAAGAGAGUCUGUUUUGCACAAGCCAAAAGGCCGAGUUGGAAGCCGAGGCAUCUGAAAUUUCUUCACCAGUGCAGUCACUCCAAUCGAUUAUCGGGAGGCUUCCUAGUUCAGACUGCGAGCUCUAUAGAACCUGCAGAGCUUGGGGUUUUGCCCCUGGACAUUGCUUCUCCCGUGUUCGAGGCCUCGGAAAUGAUCCGUCUUGAAAUUUCUUUGUCAUUUCAUAAAAUGAUCCGUCUUAGUUCUUGAAACCUGCUCCAUUUAUUUUCCUAUUCAGUCAGCCAUCGACUUACUAUACAGUUAAAAGGGUAAGCACUGCACCGAAGACAGAUCAAUGUUGCUGUUGUUCAAA